UACGUAGGGUGCAAGCGUUGUCCGGAAUUAUUGGGCGUAAAGAGCUUGUAGGCGGUUUGUCGCGUCUGCUGUGAAAUUUCGGGGCUCAACCCCGAACUUGCAGUGGUACGGGCAGACUAGAGUGUGGUAGGGGAGACUGGAAUUCCUGGUGUAGCGGUGAAAUGCGCAGAUAUCAGGAGGAACACCGGUGGCGAAGGCGGGUCUCUGGGCCGAAACUGACGCUGAGGAGCGAAAGCAUGGGGAGCGAACAGG
rnacentral:rRNA from 1 species